UGUCCAGGGAUGGGAAUCGAACCCACAGUGUUCCGCUUACCGGGCAGAUGCCAUGUCCACUAGGCUACCCUAUUGUC
rnacentral:tRNA from 1 species